rnacentral:rRNA from 1 species
UGCCAGCAGCCGCGGUAAUACGUACCGGACAAACGUUAUUCGGAAUCACUGGGCUUAAAGAGUACGUAGGCUGCCUUGAAGGUGAGAUGUGAAAUCCGACGGCUCAACCGUCGAACUGCAUUUCAAACCACAAGGCUUGAGGGAGACAGGGGUAAGCGGAACUCACAGUGGAGCGGUGAAAUGCGUUGAUAUUGUGAGGAACACCGGUGGCGAAGGCGGCUUACUGGGUCUCUUCUGACGCUGAGGUACGAAAGCUAGGGUAGCGAACGGGAUUAGAUA